rnacentral:lncRNA from 1 species
GUCGGACAAACAACAUUGGGAAAAUAUACAGCCUUGAGCCUUGAUUGAAUUAUGUUUAUGACCAAUGUAUAUCUCUAUUUGAGGAAUUCUCCAAAGAUCCAGAGCCGAUUGUUUCAUAGAGCUGUGAAGUUGCGUUAAACAUACUGGAUUUUGAACGAUCCGACAAACCAUUCGAGGUACUUGGAAGAUUAAGUCUCUUAUCUGGGUGGUUGUUACAGGU